ACGGAAGGCAGCAGUGAGGAAUAUUGGUCAAUGGGCGCAAGCCUGAACCAGCCAAGUAGCGUGAAGGAUGACUGCCCUCUGGGUUGUAAACUUCUUUUAUAUGGGAAUAAAGUGAGCCACGUGUGGUUUUUUGUAUGUACCAUAUGAAUAAGCAUCGGCUAAUUCCGUGCCAGCAGCCGCGGUAAUACGGAAGAUGCGAGCGUUAUCCGGAUUUAUUGGGUUUAAAGGGAGCGUAGGCGGGUCCUUAAGUCAGUGGGCAAAGCGGGUGGCUCAACCAUACCACGCCGUUGAUACUGGGGACCUUGAGUGCACAUAAGGAUGGUGGAAUUCGUCGUGUAGCGGUGAAAUGCUUAGAUAUGACGAAGAACUCCGAUUGCGAAGGCAGCUGUCCGGGGUGUAACUGACGCUAAUGCUCGAAAGUGCGGGUAUCAAACAGGAUUAGAUACCCUGGUA
rnacentral:rRNA from 1 species